UACGUAGGGUGCAAGCGUUAAUCGGAAUUACUGGGCGUAAAGCGUACGCAGGCGGUUUGCUAAGACAGGUGUGAAAUCCCCGGGCUUAACCUGGGAACUGCGCUUGUUACUGGCAAGCUAGAGUGUGGCAGAGGGGGGUAGAAUUCCAGGUGUAGCAGUGAAAUGCGUAGAUAUCUGGAGGAAUACCGAUGGCGAAGGCAGCCCCCUGGGUUAACACUGACGCUCAUGUACGAAAGCGUGGGGAGCAAACAGG
rnacentral:rRNA from 1 species